rnacentral:rRNA from 1 species
AAGGUACGGGAGGCAGCAGUGGGGAAUUUUGGACAAUGGGGGCAACCCUGAUCCAGCCAUGCCGCGUGUAUGAAGAAGGCCUUCGGGUUGUAAAGUACUUUUGUUAGGGAAGAAAAGGGAAGUGUUAAUACCACUUUUUGCUGACGGUACCUAAAGAAUAAGCACCGGCUAACUACGUGCCAGCAGCCGCGGUAAUCCUU